UUUCACAGUUCCCUUUGAAGAGUGCGGGUC
rnacentral:piRNA from 1 species